AACGAACGCUGGCGGCAGGCUUAACACAUGCAAGUCGAACGCAUCCUUCGGGGUGAGUGGCAGACGGGUGAGUAACGCGUGGGAACGUGCCCUUCAGUUCGGGAUAACCCAGGGAAACUUGGGCUAAUACCGGAUACGUGCGAGAGCAGAAAGAUUUAUCGCUGAAGGAUCGGCCCGCGUCUGAUUAGCUAGUUGGUGGGGUAAUGGCCCACCAAGGCGACGAUCAGUAGCUGGUCUGAGCGGAUGAUCAGCCACAUUGGGACUGAGACACGGCCCAAACUCCUACGGGAGGCAGCAGUGGGGAAUAUGGACAAUGGGCGCAAGCCUGAUCCAGCCAUGCCGCGUGAGUGAUGAAGGCCUUAGGGUUGUAAAGCUCUUUCGUCCGGGACGAUAAUGACGGUACCGGAAGAAGAAGCCCCGGCUAACUUCGUGCCAGCCGCCGCGGUAA
rnacentral:rRNA from 1 species